UUUCUUGUUGGAAUAUUUAAAACAUGUUUUAUCUCUGAGCAAUAUUUACAUAAUAAGCAUUGUUUAUGGACGUUGGCCUUAUACUCAUCCUAAGUGAUGAGUUGGCGUGAGCACUGCUCCACUGAGCAGUGAGCGGGUACCACAAUGGAGAAAAAGAUCAGCAAUGGACUCCACAUCCUCAGCACGACCAGGCGGCACAGGUGCAACGGGCAACACUGGCCCACCGCAUAGAAAGCAGCAACCAAGUAGCCACGAACUAUCACAUCCUGCAUGGAUUGGCAUGUAUCCUCUCCUGAUGUCGUGUAACUGCAGAGACUCAAAACCAAAUAUCCCUCUACAGAAGGAUUUUUCUGCUCUCACUGGAUUGUCUCCUCAUUGGACCUAAGAACACUCAGCCAUAAAUAUGCUUGAAACAACUGAUCAUACAUCUUUACCUGGACACCUAAUGCCACACACCCUUAAGGAAGACUUUACGGAUUGGAGCAUGAGCACUUUAAAGUGAUUCAAAAUUAUGGAGGAGCUAUAAAGUUUAUAAAGUGCUUCAAUGCGUUACCAAUCAGAGCAGUAGUGGAACCAUUCCGAGGAGCUUGUAAUACCAUGCAUAGCCUGCUCAUCAUCAGCCCAGGUGUCACUCCUGGGCACGUGGGGCUUCCAGCAUUCCUGCCCAGAGACUCUCCAUCACGAAAAGCAGAGGAGCCACUGCUGAGGAGCCGGGAGAGUUUCGGCAGUGCUGGGAAGCUAAACAGCAGGCUUCCCGGAAGGGACUGCAAAAUGUCUGUGUGAAGUGAAUUCAAGGUGAGUAUUCUUAUUGGUGCACAGUUUCAUUUUUGAUUCUUGCAUAGGAUGAGUCUGAAAAGUCCACACAAGAAUUUAUGUUUUAUUCCCAGAGUCCCCGCAGGCCCAACUGGCACCUGGGUCUGCACUGAAUAUGCACAGAGCUGUGCCAGGAGGCCAGAGCAGUGUGGGAGCAUUGGCACUGCCCACAUUUAGACCAGGGUUCCUGCCAUGGCCUUGGCAUGAGCACAGGUGAAGGAGGAGGAGGUGGGGCUGGCU